rnacentral:lncRNA from 1 species
UUUCAAUUUCAUAAUUAGAACCAAUGAGUUGUUAUCUGUUUGAUGAUAUUAGUUUGUAUUUGUUGUUCUUUUUCAUGUCUUUCUUUCUAUUUUCUAUUCGGAAACUUGUGCUCUACAUAGUGGCCUAGUCUGUUAUCCAAUAAAAAAAUGGUUUAAAAAAGACCUCGCAUUGACUGCAAAAUGGAUAUCCAAGUGAUGCCCAGUGCUGGGUACUAUGCAGCACGUCAAGGAUUACACCAGUUUCAAUUUGUUAACAAGUAUAUAGGAACCAUGAACCAUUGCUAGCCGCCAGCCUUGCUUGUUUCCUCACCACUCACUUGUGGCACUAGUCACUGAGCACGCUAGUCUUGACUGAAAUUUAGUAAUCCCAAUCCAAAGCAAUAAAAAUUCAAUCGGAUAGUGGAGAGAAAAGGACAAGCUCAUCUUCUUGCUUAUUUGACAUGGAUGUUCAGUUUUCUUACAAUGCCAUCUGGGUCUGUCGGAUUUGUUCAUGUCCAGUUUUUACUCACUUGUAAACUGCCCACACAGACACGUUAUGAAUAUAUCAAGUCCUUUUUUAUUUAGUGGGUUGCCGAGCAG